rnacentral:rRNA from 1 species
AGGUCCUGCCUGCCCCGUGAUUUAGUUUAACGGCCGCGGUAUCUUGACCGUGCAAAGGUAGCAUAAUAAAUUGUCUUUUAAAUUUAGACUAGUAUGAAUGGCCCCACGAGGGUUUAACUGUCUCCCCCUUUUAAUCUAUGAAAUUAAUCUUCCCGUGAAGAAACGGGAAUAUAAAUACAAGACGAAAAGACCCCAUGGAGCUUCAAACUUAUAACCACUUAUUUAAUUACAUAACACUUUAAUAUAAAAAUGUACUUUAAUAGUUUUUGGUUGGGGCGACCCUGGAGAAAAACAAAUCCUCCAGACUGAAAAGAACUAUAAUCCUUAUAUAAGAGCUACAACUCUAAUAAACAAAAAUUUGACAAAAUUGAUCCAGAAUUAACUGACCAAUGAACCAAGUUACCCUGGGGAUAACAGCGCAAUCCAUUUCAAGAGCCCCUAUCGACAAAUGGGUUUACGACCUCGAUGUUGGAUCAGGGCAUCCUAGCAGCGCAGCUGUUGCUAACGGUUCGUUUGUUCAACGAUUAAUACCCUACGUGAUCUGAGU